UGGGGAAUCUUGCGCAAUGGGCGAAAGCCUGACGCAGCAACGCCGCGUGAGCGAAGAAGGCCUUCGGGUUGUAAAGCUCUGUCAGGAGGAAAGAAGGCACCUGGGUCAACAGCCCAAGGGCUGACGGUACCUCCAAAGGAAGCCACGGCUAACUACGUGCCAGCAGCCGCGGUAAUACGUAGGUGGCAAGCGUUGUCCGGAAUCAUUGGGCGUAAAGAGCGCGUAGGUGGCUUGUCAGGUCUGAUGUGAAAACCUGGGGCUUAACUCCAGGCCUGCAUCAGAAACCGGCUUGCUAGAGUCUGGGAGAGGGGAGUGGAAUUCCUGGUGUAGCGGUGAAAUGCGUAGAUAUCAGGAGGAACACCGGUAGCGAAGGCGGCUCUCUGGAACAGUACUGACGCUGAGGCGCGAAAGCUAGGGGAGCGAACA
rnacentral:rRNA from 1 species